rnacentral:rRNA from 1 species
AUUGAACGCUAGCGGGAUGCUUUACACAUGCAAGUCGAACGAGUGGCGGACGGGUGAGUAAUAUAUCGGAACGUGCCAAGUAGCGGGGGAUAACUACUCGAAAGAGUGGCUAAUACCGCAUAAUAUUGGAACGGCCGAUAUGGGAGUAGCUAGUUGGGGGGGUAAAGGCUCACCAAGGACACGGUCCGUAGCUGGUUUGAUAGGACGACCAGCCACACUGGGACUGAGACACGGCCCAGACUCCUACGUGAGGCAGCAGUGGGGAAUUUUGGACAAUGGGGGAAACCCUGAUCCAGCCAUCCCGCGUGUAUGAGAAGGCCUUCGGGUUGUAAAGUACUUUUGGCAGAGAAGCGGUAUCUGCAGAAUAAGCACCGGCUAACUACGUGCCAGCAGCCGCGGUAAUUC